rnacentral:tRNA from 1 species
GUAUACUGAGGCGGUUGGUUACCGAAACCCUGGGCCGUUCGGAUACCACGAACGCAGGCAAUUCAGCCUUCCAAGCUGAAUACCCGGGUUCGAUUCCCGGUACCCGCUCCA